rnacentral:rRNA from 1 species
GAUGAACGCUGGCGGCGUGCCUAAUACAUGCAAGUCGAGCGAACAGACGAGGAGCUUGCUCCUCUGACGUUAGCGGCGGACGGGUGAGUAACACGUGGAUAACCUACCUAUAAGACUGGGAUAACUUCGGGAAACCGGAGCUAAUACCGGAUAAUAUAUUGAACCGCAUGGUUCAAUAGUGAAAGACGGUUUUGCUGUCACUUAUAGAUGGAUCCGCGCCGCAUUAGCUAGUUGGUAAGGUAACGGCUUACCAAGGCAACGAUGCGUAGCCGACCUGAGAGGGUGAUCGGCCACACUGGAACUGAGACACGGUCCAGACUCCUACGGGAGGCAGCAGUAGGGAAUCUUCCGCAAAGGGCGAAAGCUUGACGGAGCAACGCCGCGUGAGUGAUGAAGGUCUUCGGAUCGUAAAACUCUGUUGUUAGGGAAGAACAAAUGUGUAAGUAACUAUGCACGUCUUGACGGUACCUAAUCAGAAAGCCACGGCUAACUACGUG